rnacentral:rRNA from 1 species
UGGGGAAUAUUGGACAAUGGGCGCAAGCCUGAUCCAGCCAUGCCGCGUGAGUGACGAAGGUCUUCGGAUUGUAAAACUCUUUUGGCGGGGACGAUAAUGACGGUACCCGCAGAAUAAGCCCCGGCUAACUUCGUGCCAGCAGCCGCGGUAAUACGAAGGGGGCUAGCGUUGUUCGGAAUCACUGGGCGUAAAGCGCACGUAGGCGGAUGUGCCAGUCAGGGGUGAAAUCCCGGAGCUCAACUCCGGAACUGCCUCUGAUACUGCACGUCUUGAGUUCGAGAGAGGUGGGUGGAAUUCCUAGUGUAGAGGUGAAAUUCGUAGAUAUUAGGAAGAACACCGGUGGCGAAGGCGGCCCACUGGCUCGAUACUGACGCUGAGGUGCGAAAGCGUGGGGAGCAAACAGGAUUAGAUACCCCUGUAGUCCCUGAGCGGGCUGGCAAGGCGCAU